rnacentral:lncRNA from 1 species
AUAUGGACCCUGAGCUCUAUAAGAGCCCACAUCUCCAUGUGAUUUGUUGUAUGCUCCGUGACUUUCUCUUGAAGGAAUGAAUUGGAUUUUGCUUUGGUUUGAGCAAGUAGGGAAGUCAAGAAGGAAUGGACUUAAAACUUCAGAAGGGCCCAGACUGAGAAAACAUUUGACAGUGGAGAGCUUACUUCCGGUUUAUACUGAUUCAAUCAGUCUUUUGCCCUGCUCUACACAUAGAUGUAUUGUAUCCUCUUGUAAUCUGGUUCGACGCUAGGCAUAUUUCUCCAGAUUUAAGUAAAUAAAACUGCAACAUGA